AAAGUGCGUUAUGCUUCAAGUUUAAGUGGUGUUUUCAAAAAUUCCCCAUACAAGGAAGAAUAUGACCAUAUCAUUGGCACUUCGGAGCAUGGACAAAUAAUUAAUUCUUCGGAGCUGACCUUACCUUCUUUUAGGCAUCUUCUGAUUGCAUUUGGUGGACUUGCUGGUUUGGAAGAAAGCAUUGAAGAAGAUACAAACUUGAAAGGUAAACAUGCGAAUGAUGUAUUCACAUCUUAUU